rnacentral:rRNA from 1 species
UACAGAGGGGGCAAGCGUUGUUCGGAAUUACUGGGCGUAAAGGGCGCGUAGGCGGCCUUCUAAGUCGAACGUGAAAUCCCCGGGCUCAACCCGGGAACUGCGUCCGAUACUGGAAGGCUUGAAUCCGGGAGAGGGAUGCGGAAUUCCAGGUGUAGCGGUGAAAUGCGUAGAUAUCGAGAGGAACACCGGUGGCGAAGGCGGCCAACUGGACGAAGACUGACGCUGAGACACGAAAGCGUGGGGAGCAAACAGG